AGGUAGCGAAAUUCCUUGUCGGGUAAGUUCCGACCCGCACGAAUGGUGUAACGAUUUGGGCGCUGUCUCAACAGGGGGCCCGGUGAAAUUGAAGUAUGGGUGAAGAUGCCCAUUACCCGCGACUGGACGGAAAGACCCCGUAGAGCUUUACUGUAGCUUAUCAUUGAGAAUUGGUAACGGAUGUACAGGAUAGGUGGGAGGCAGAGAAACAUCGUCGUCAGAUGGUGCGGAGCCGACGUUGGGAUACCACUCUUCUGUUACUGGUUUUCUAACAAUGUGCGGUAAACCCGGCAAUGGACAGUGAUAGGUGGGCAGUUUGACUGGGGCGGUCGCCUCCCAAAGAGUAACGGAGGCGCCCAAAGGUUCCCUCAGCGCGGCCGGAAAUCGCGCGAAGAGUGUAAAGGCAGAAGGGAGCUUGACUGAGAGCCAAACACGGCGAUCAGGUACGAAAGUAGGGCUUAGUGAUCCGGUGGCAUCCAAGUGGAAGGGCCAUCGCUCAACGGAUAAAAGCUACCCUGGGGAUAACAGGCUAAUCUCUCCCAAGAGUCCAUAUCGACGGGGAGGUUUGGCACCUCGAUGUCGGCUCAUCACAUCCUGGGGCUGAAGUCGGUCCCAAGGGUUGGGCUGUUCGCCCAUUAAAGUGGUACGUGAGCUGGGUUCAGAACGUCGUGAGACAGUUCGGUCCCUAUCCAUCGCGGGCGUAAGAGAUUUGAAGGGGGCUGCUCCUAGUACGAGAGGACCGGAGUGGACGAACCAAUGGUGUACCAAUUAUCCUGCCAGGGGUAUAGUUGGGUAGCUACGUUCGGAAAGGAUAAACGCUGAAAGCAUCUAAGCGUGAAACCAGCCUUAAGAUGAGAUCUCUCAUAACAAAAGUUAGUAAGACACCUUGAAGAAGACGAGGUUGAUAGGUCGGGAGUGUAAGUGCAGUAAUGUAUUUAGCGGACCGAUACUAAUAAGUCGAGGGCUUGACUAA
rnacentral:rRNA from 1 species